UGAAAUGCUAGUAUAGAAUUGUAAACUUCUC
rnacentral:piRNA from 1 species